rnacentral:rRNA from 1 species
UACGAAGGGGGCUAGCGUUGCUCGGAAUCACUGGGCGUAAAGCGCACGUAGGCGGAUCUUUAAGUCAGGGGUGAAAUCCCAAGGCUCAACCUUGGAACUGCCUUUGAUACUGGGGAUCUCGAGUCCGGAAGAGGUGAGUGGAACUGCGAGUGUAGAGGUGAAAUUCGUAGAUAUUCGCAAGAACACCAGUGGCGAAGGCGGCUCACUGGCCCGAUACUGACGCUGAGGUGCGAAAGCGUGGGGAGCAAACAGG